rnacentral:rRNA from 1 species
UCAAGCGAGUAAGCGCAUACGGUGGAUGCCUUGGCAGUUGGAGGCGAUGAAGGACGUAGGAGCCUGCGAUAAGCUUCGGGGAGGUGGCAAACACCCUUUGAUCCGAAGAUUUCCGAAUGGGGAAACCCACCCGCCAUAAGGCGGGUAUCAUGCACUGAAUACAUAGGUGUAUGAAGCGAACCCGGAGAACUGAAACAUCUAAGUAACCGGAGGAAAAGAAAUCAACCGAGAUUCCCUUAGUAGCGGCGAGCGAAAGGGGAGCAGCCUGCAAGUGAUAGCAGAAGUGUUAGUGGAACAGUCUGGAAAGUCUGGCAAUAAAGGGUGAUAGCCCCGUACACGAAAACAUAUCUGUGGUACUAAGCUUGCGAAAAGUAGGUCGGGACACGUGUUAUCUUGACUGAACAUGGGGGGACCAUCCUCCAAGGCUAAAUACUACCAACUGACCGAUAGUGAACUAGUACCGUGAGGGAAAGGUUAAAAGAACCCCGGAGAGGGGAGUGAAAUAGAUCCUGAAACCGUAUGCGUACAAGCAGUAGGAGCAGACUUGUUCUGUGACUGCGUACCUUUUGUAUAAUGGGUCAGCGACUUAUUUUCAGUGGCAAGGUUAACCGUAUAGGGGAGCCGUAGGGAAACCGAGUCUUAAUAGGGCGUCUUAGUCGCUGGGAAUAGACCCGAAACCGGGCGAUCUAUCCAUGGCCAGGUUGAAGGUUGAGUAACAUCAACUGGAGGACCGAACCCACUAAUGUUGAAAAAUUAGGGGAUGAGCUGUGGAUCGGAGUGAAAGGCUAAUCAAGCCCGGAGAUAGCUGGUUCUCCUCGAAAGCUAUUUAGGUAGCGCCUCAUGUAUCACCACCGGGGGUAGAGCACUGUUACGGCUAGGGGGUCAUACCGACCUACCAACCCGUUGCAAACUCCGAAUACCGGUGAGUGCAAUCAUGGGAGACACACGGCGGGUGCUAACGUCCGUAGUCGAGAGGGAAACAACCCAGACCGCCAGCUAAGGUCCCUAAUAUCAGUUAAGUGGGAAACGAUGUGGGAAGGCUCAGACAGCUAGGAGGUUGGCUUAGAAGCAGCCAUCCUUUAAAGAAAGCGUAAUAGCUCACUAGUCGAGUCGGCCUGCGCGGAAGAUUUAACGGGGCUAAACUGAUAACCGAAGCUGCGGACGCAUACUUGUAUGCGUGGUAGAGGAGCGUUCUGUAAGCCGUUGAAGGUGCAUUGUAAAGUGUGCUGGAGGUAUCAGAAGUGCGAAUGCUGACGUGAGUAACGAUAAAGCGGGUGAAAAACCCGCUCGCCGGAAGAUCAAGGUUUCCUGUCCAACGCUAAUCGGGACAGGGUUAGUCGGUACCUAAGGCGAGGCCGAAAGGCGUAGUCGAUGGAAAACAGGUUAAUAUUCCUGUACCGCUAUAUACUGCGAUGGGGGGACGGAGAAGGCUAGGUGAUCAGGGCGAUGGUUGUCCCUGUACAAGCUUGUAGGGAGAUCUCUUAGGUAAAUCCGGGAGAUCAUUAUCCUGAGGAGUGAUGUCGAGCUCAAUUGCGAGCGAAGUCAUUAAUGCCAUGCUUCCAAGAAAAGCCUCUAAGCUUCAGGUAUAUAGAGACCGUACUCCAAACCGACACAGGUGAUCAGGUAGAGAAUACCAAGGCGCUUGAGAGAACUAUGGUGAAGGAACUAGGCAAAAUGGUGCCGUAACUUCGGGAGAAGGCACGCCGAUUUUAGUGAUGGGAUUUACUCCCUAAGCUGAGGUUGGCCGCAGAGACCAGGCCCCUGCGACUGUUUAUCUAAAACACAGCACUCUGCAAACUCGUAAGAGGAAGUAUAGGGUGUGACGCCUGCCCGGUGCCGGAAGGUUAAUUGAUGGGGUUAGCUUCGGCGAAGCUCUUGAUCGAAGCCCCGGUAAACGGCGGCCGUAACUAUAACGGUCCUAAGGUAGCGAAAUUCCUUGUCGGGUAAGUUCCGACCUGCACGAAUGGCGUAACGACGGGGGCGCUGUCUCCACCAUAGACUCAGUGAAAUCGAAAUCGCGGUGAAGAUGCCGUGUUCCCGCGGCUAGACGGAAAGACCCCGUGAACCUUUACUAUAGCUUGGCACUGAACUUUGAAUCUAUCUGUGUAGGAUAGGUGGGAGG